GCCCUAGUAACGGCGAGUGAAGCGGCAACAGCUCAAAUUUGAAAUCUGGCUCUCGGGCCCGAGUUGUAAUUUGUAGAGGAUACUUUUGAUGCGGUGCCUUCCGAGUUCCCUGGAACGGGACGCCAUAGAGGGUGAGAGCCCCGUCUGGUUGGAUGCCAAAUCUCUGUAAAGUUCCUUCGACGAGUCGAGUAGUUUGGGAAUGCUGCUCUAAAUGGGAGGUAUAUGUCUUCUAAAGCUAAAUACCGGCCAGAGACCGAUAGCGCACAAGUAGAGUGAUCGAAAGAUGAAAAGCACUUUGAAAAGAGAGUUAAAAAGUACGUGAAAUUGUUGAAAGGGAAGCGUUUAUGACCAGACUUGGGCUUGGUUAAUCAUCUGGGGUUCUCCCCAGUGCACUUUUCCAGUCCAGGCCAGCAUCAGUUUUCCCCGGGGGAUAAAGACUUCGGGAAUGUGGCUCUCUUCGGGGAGUGUUAUAGCCCGUUGUGUAAUACCCUGGGGGGGACUGAGGUUCGCGCAUCUGCAAGGAUGCUGGCGUAAUGGUCAUCAACGACCCGUCUUGAAACACGGACCAAGGAGUCGUCUUCGUAUGCGAGUGUUCGGGUGUCAAACCCCUACGCGUAAUGAAAGUGAACGCAGGUGAGAGCUUCGGCGCAUCAUCGACCGAUCCUGAUGUUCUCGGAUGGAUUUGAGUAAGAGCAUACGGGGCCGGACCCGAAAGAAGGUGAACUAUGCCUGUAUAGGGUGAAGCCAGAGGAAACUCUGGUGGAGGCUCGCAGCGGUUCUGACGUGCAAAUCGAUCGUCAAAUAUGGGCAUGGGGGCGAAAG
rnacentral:rRNA from 1 species